UAAAAAGCUCGUAGUCGGAGGUGUGUCUCGGACGGUCGGUUCGCCGCUUGUCGGUGCUCAACUGGCCGGUCCGGACGUCCUGCCGGUGGGGCUGUAAAAGGCUCCGUUAUCCUUCUUUGGUCCUCUUCAUUGAGUGCCUUGGUGGGCCGGCACGUUUACUUUGAACAAAUUAGAGUGCUCAAAGCAGGCCGUUGGUCGCCUGAAUACUGUGUGCAUGGAAUAAUGGAAUAGGACCUCGGUUCCAUUUUGUUGGUUUUCAGAACUCGAGGUAAUGAUUAAUAGGGACGGACGGGGGCAUUCGUAUUGCGACGUUAGAGGUGAAAUUCUUGGAUCGUCGCAAGACGAACCGAUGCGAAAGCAUUUGCCAAGAACGUUUUCGUUGAUCAAGAACGAAAGUUAGAGGUUCGAAGGCGAUCAGAUACCGCCCUAGUUCUAACCAUAAACGAUGCCAGCUAGCCAUCCGCCGAAGUUCCUUAUAUGACUCGGCGGGCAGCUUCCGGGAAACCAAAGCUCUUGGGUUCCGGGG
rnacentral:rRNA from 6 species